CUAAAGGGCCCUACAUUACCCUACUGGUAAAUUCCAGUCUAGCUAAAAAGUAGCUUAGUUUGCUAACAUAAUGAACUAUGAACUAAUAGAAAAUGUUUUUUUUUUUUUUUUUAAGAGAAAUAAAAGAAAAUGUUGCUUUGAAUGAUCUCAGGAUGCAAGUUACAUUGGAACUGCAAGUUGUUUGAAGAUAACAUUUUAGCUGAAAUAUUAGAAGUGUUCAGCUCCAGUAAUUGUGGCUCUUAAUGAUUGUGUGCCUUGCAGAUUUAAAAGGUUGCACAGCAUUUACUCCAGGAAAUACUAAGAACUGCAGAAGAUGAAGUGUGAAACUAGGUCACUGCUAUUUGAGACUGUAAUCUUUUGGAAGGUUUUUCUGCUUCAAGAAUAAAGCUGCAUAUGGCUACACCACUUAUUUCAUAUUGCAUUGGUGAUUUUCCGUGAGUCAGAAAUAUGGCAUGGUAAGCUCUGGGAUCAGUUCACAAGAAAUAAAGCCACGUGGACAGAUUGCUGCAUCUCUGUAGUCUGUGACUCAGUUGGACCGAACUCUGCACAGUUGUAACAAACUGCAGCCGUUCAAGGACUCGGGUUUGCAAAAACAUGUACAGUAUAAACAUAGGUGGCAGGUGAGGAGAAAGCAGCACUUAAAAGAAGCUGUGAUGCUCCUGAUGGAGGAAGAUGGGGAUGGCACUGGAUUCUGUGACAGAAGGAAAGAGUGCAGGAAAUAACUCCCCAGUUCGCUUGAUUUUUACCUGAUGAUUUACAAGACAGAACUUGAAGCUAGAGGUAUGUUGCCAAAAAAAGACAGACUUGGAUUUCACCAUUUUUCUUCUUGAAGAAAAUAUUAAGUAGAAAGUCCAGCACUGUUCUUCCUAGCCAGCAGAUAGGAUUACACAAACUUCUUACUGCAAUUAUUCUCUUUGGUAUGUUCUAUUAGUUAAGCAACGUUAAUAGUAGAACAAUAUUUUUCUCAUUUAU
rnacentral:lncRNA from 1 species